AUGCAUGUCUAAGUACAAACUAUAUUAAAGUGAAACCGCGAAAGGCUCAUUAAAUCAGUUAUGGUUCCUUAGAUCGUACCACAAUUACUUGGAUAACUGUGGUAAUUCUAGAGCUAAUACAUGCAAACAGAGCUCUGACCGGAGACGGAAGGAGUGCUUUUAUUAGAUCAAAACCAAUCGGCGGCGAUAGCGUUUCGGCGUUAUCGUUCGUCGCUCAAUAAAUGGUGAAUCUGAAUAACUUUAUGCUGAUCGCAUGGUCUUGUACCGGCGACGCAUCUUUCAAAUGUCUGCCUUAUCAACUGUCGAUGGUAGGAUCUGCGCCUACCAUGGUUGUAACGGGUAACGGGGAAUCAGGGUUCGAUUCCGGAGAGGGAGCCUGAGAAACGGCUACCACAUCCAAGGAAGGCAGCAGGCGCGCAAAUUACCCACUCCCGGCACGGGGAGGUAGUGACGAAAAAUAACGAUACGGGACUCAUCCGAGGCCCCGUAAUCGGAAUGAGUACACUUUAAAUCCUUUAACAAGGACCAAUUGGAGGGCAAGUCUGGUGCCAGCAGCCGCGGUAAUUCCAGCUCCAAUAGCGUAUAUUAAAGUUGUUGCGGUUAAAAAGCUCGUAGUUGAAUUUGUGUCCCGCACUGUCGGUUCACCGCCCGCGGUGCUAACUGGCAUGUUUGCGGGACGUCCUGCCGGUGGAUGUAAGUGAAAGAUUUCGGUCUUUCACACAUCCGACUUAUAAAUCCUGUCGCGGUGCUCUUAACUGAGUGUCGAGGCGGGCCGGCACGUUUACUUUGAACAAAUUAGAGUGCUCAAAGCAGGCUAAUUAAUGCCUGAAUAAUUAGUGCAUGGAAUAAUGGAACAGGACCUUGGUUCUAUUUUGUUGGUUUUCGGAACCCCAAGGUAAUGAUUAAUAGGGACAGAUGGGGGCAUUCGUAUUGCGACGUUAGAGGUGAAAUUCUUGGAUCGUCGCAAGACGGACUAAAGCGAAAGCAUUUGCCAAAGAUGUUUUCAUUAAUCAAGAACGAAAGUCAGAGGUUCGAAGGCGAUCAGAUACCGCCCUAGUUCUGACCAUAAACGAUGCCAGCUAGCGAUCCGCCAAAGUUCCUCCGAUGACUUGGCGGGCAGCUUCCGGGAAACCAAAGCUUUUGGGUUCCGGGGGAAGUAUGGUUGCAAAGCUGAAACUUAAAGGAAUUGACGGAAGGGCACCACCAGGAGUGGAGCCUGCGGCUUAAUUUGACUCAACACGGGAAACCUCACCAGGCCCAGACACUGGAAGGAUUGACAGAUUGAGAGCUCUUUCUUGAUUCAGUGGGUGGUGGUGC
rnacentral:rRNA from 1 species